AAGUCGUAACAAGGUUUCCGUAGGUGAACCUGCGGAAGGAUCAUUUUAGAAUGUUGAUAUAAGAUUGAAUGAAAGGUGAUCCAUUUCUUUGAAAUGGUGAACCUUUCUAUUCAAUCUUGUAUCACUCAAAUACCAACCCCAAACAGUUGAAAAAAAUCGUUUCUUCUUCAAUUUCUUUGGAGACGAGAAAAAUAACAUGAUGAGCGAGUGAUUUGUGGGCAAGAAUGAAUUUUUCAUUUUUACUUGCAAGUCUCCUCUUGUCAUGGAUUUUUUUUUCUCGUCUUCAAGGAAAUUGAAGAGAAACAAACUUAUAAACUCUUUACAACAAUCUUCGGACUGAACCAAAACCAAAAUUAAAAUACACUUUUAACAACGGAUCUCUUGGCUCUC
rnacentral:misc_RNA from 1 species